GACGAAGGUGGCAAGCGUUAUUCGGAUUUACUGGGCAUAAAGCGCGCGUAGGCGGCUUGGCAAGUCGGGGGUGAAAGCCCGCAGCUCAACUGCGGAACUGCCUUCGAUACUGCCGGGCUUGAGGGCGGGAGGGGUGAUUGGAACUCCAGGUGUAGCGGUGAAAUGCGUAGAUAUCUGGAGGAACACCGGAGGCGAAGGCGAAUCACUGGACCGCUUCUGACGCUGAGGCGCGAAAGCUAGGGGAGCAAAC
rnacentral:rRNA from 1 species